rnacentral:rRNA from 1 species
AUACAUGCAAGUCGAGCGAACGGACGAGAAGCUUGCUUCUCUGAUGUUAGCGGCGGACGGGUGAGUAACACGUGGAUAACCUACCUAUAAGACUGGGAUAACUUCGGGAAACCGGAGCUAAUACCGGAUAAUAUUUUGAACCGCAUGGUUCAAAAGUGAAAGACGGUCUUGCUGUCACUUAUAGAUGGAUCCGCGCUGCAUUAGCUAGUUGGUAAGGUAACGGCUUACCAAGGCAACGAUGCAUAGCCGACCUGAGAGGGUGAUCGGCCACACUGGAACUGAGACACGGUCCAGACUCCUACGGGAGGCAGCAGUAGGGAAUCUUCCGCAAUGGGCGAAAGCCUGACGGAGCAACGCCGCGUGAGUGAUGAAGGUCUUCGGAUCGUAAAACUCUGUUAUUAGGGAAGAACAUAUGUGUAAGUAACUGUGCACAUCUUGACGGUACCUAAUCAGAAAGCCACGGCUAACUACGUGCCAGCAGCCGCGGUAAUACGUAGGUGGCAAGCGUUAUCCGGAAUUAUUGGGCGUAAAGCGCGCGUAGGCGGUUUUUUAAGUCUGAUGUGAAAGCCCACGGCUCAACCGUGGAGGGUCAUUGGAAACUGGAAAACUUGAGUGCAGAAGAGGAAAGUGGAAUUCCAUGUGUAGCGGUGAAAUGCGCAGAGAUAUGGAGGAACACCAGUGGUGAAGGCGACUUUCUGGUCUGUAACUGACGCUGAUGUGCGAAAGUA